rnacentral:rRNA from 1 species
UGGGGAAUAUUGGACAAUGGGCGAAAGCCUGAUCCAGCGACGUCGCGUGAGUGAUGAAGGCCUUCGGGUUGUAAAGCUCUUUUAGUGGGGAAGAUAAUGACGGUACCCACAGAAAAAGCCCCGGCUAACUUCGUGCCAGCAGCCGCGGUAAUACGAAGGGGGCUAGCGUUACUCGGAAUUAUUGGGCGUAAAGCGUGCGCAGGCGGCCAAGUAAGUUGGAAGUGAAAUCCUUAAGCUUAACUUAAGAAUUGCUUUCAAAACUACUUGGCUUGAGUGCUAGAGGGGAUAGUGGAAUUCCUAGUGUAGAGGUGAAAUUCGUAGAUAUUAGGAGGAACACCGGUGGCGAAAGCGAUUAUCUGGCUAGAAACUGACGCUGUUGCACGAAAGCGUGGGGAGCAAACAGG